GUCAGCGGGGGCUGCUGCGGCCUGCGCACCUUCCCGUGCUUGGAAACGCCGCUCGUCUGCCCUCAAAGUCUCUAACACACCAAAUCAUCAAAGCACAGGUUCACUGCAACGUAGGUCUUCUAGCAGCUGCAGGAGGUGGAGGCCUCCUCAGGCCUUCACGGGCAGGAGCGAAAAAGUCCUUGAUAAAGGGUUAACAGAGAACUUCAGAAGUGGGAUUGCAGAAUGUAGACACGGAUGCAAAGUGUUGCCAAAACAUGUUCUUUCACCUGAUGAACAACUUCCACAAGUGCAUGAGAGGGCAUGAUGCUGUCAAGCAUGCCAGAGGAACUGAGUUAAAUCAAAAAGGCACAAUGUCACCCUUGGGAGAACAGGAGGAGGUAUGCAGAACACCUUUCGCUGCUGUGGUGCACAAGAGCCUGAGGUUGCAGCGAUGACCUUCGGGACACCCUGCAAGAUUCAACUGCUUACCCAGCUCUUCUCUGCGGGUGUGAGGAAGGGUCCUAUGAUUUAUUGUGUAUUUUUUGUUGAGGCUGGUGAUUCUUUGGUGUGUGUAGUUCAUUCACAGGAUGAAAUGGGUCUAUGAAAAAUCAAAGUGCAUCAUUGCUUUCAGAUGAAUAGAACUGUUCUGUUCCAACGUCUUUUGUGCUCUAAGAUGCCAGUGUAGAGCUUCAGUAUUUGUUCCAGUAAACAGAUUCCUCCAGCUCAAUAACACUUUUUUCUCGGUUUGUUUGAUGAGGCCGAGGUCAGGAAACAAAAGGAUUUUGUUCUCCGGAUACUGGAUAUUGCAUUGCUAGAGUUGCUUUCAGCAGUCUUUCGUGUUCUCCUGUUUCAAACUUAGAUGAAAUAAAAACACUCCCACUGUUGUUCACAGUCACGUUCCCCUCACUGGUAUUCUACAGCACUUUUCCCAUAAAAUAUGUUUCUACCCAAUAUGACUUUCCAGAAGUUCAGUUUGAGUUUAGUAAUAUUUGAAACAGGAUCUCUGUGGCCUGUACCAGAGGGGGGAACAAAGGUUGUGCACAACUCCAGACUUCAUUUGGUUCUCAGUUGCUUCCUGCCUUUUGUCUAGUGACACACAUUUCACAAAGGAAUACAGACACCUCAGACACCUUCUCCACCUGCAGCCCAUGAAAUUUUAAAGACACUUUUAGCCUCUUUACUUCCCCUUAUCAUGGAAAUACAAGCCUUCAGGAAAAAAGUGGAACACACAUCUAGGGGGAGAAACUAUUUAGCUAUCUUACUAUAGCCUGCCCACAUACCAUGGUAUCUGAACUCAUCCCCACAGUGUGUGCACAUGCUUCCGAUACAGCCCAGACCACACCAUGGAUAGGCCCCAGUAUGUACUUGUUAUCUAACUCUUUGUGAUGUCUGGUUUGCCAAGCACUCUAUUUAAAGGUAUUUAUCUGGAAGUAAUUAUUUUAAUACCCUGAGAAACUGCCUGUUAGGAUAGAUAGAACCAUACUUUCACCACAGUGAUGCACAAAAUUAAAUCCAUAAUAAUUUUAAGCAAUAUUUUGAUAUUUCCUAUACUUAAAAGACACAGCUUAACACUAACUGAAAAAACACAAAAACACAGUCAAAGGCAACACCACCAACUAAAGCAUUUGUUUAAUUUAAUAAUAAAAUUAAAACUUUAAUUUUUAAAAACAUUUGACAAUAAAGAACCAUCACAAUUUAAUACAUAGUUUCUCUUCACAAAUACCAUCUCCUUUUCCCAUUACAGUUUGACAAUGGAUUACUUGUCUGCUGGAAGUAAUUAUAUUAUAUUCUUAUUUCAGCUGAUUGCAAGCAAACCUUUCCAUAAAAUUCUUGACAGGAAUUCUGUCCAAAGAAGCCUCUGUAGCAAUGAUGUCAGGUGUAGCUCUGUGCUAAGAGAACUGUGCAGAGUAUGCAUUGCAUGCCCUGAGGAACAGCUGUCUGCACACCAGUGGAGUUCUCAGAGGGCUGCUCUGUCUCUGGACAGCACAGGAGUUAUCCCAGGGAGCUUGAGCAGCAGCACUCCCCCUUCCCACAGGAUGAGCACUGCUCACAUCCCGAACUGCCCACACAGCUGAGGACUCAGGACAGCAAACUUCCUUUACAUUCAACAAGCCUACUAUAUAUUUGGACAAUCUGCUGUGUGUAUGUUUCUGCUGCAAUGUUCUGUUCAUGAUAUGAUUGUGACAAGACAAAUUUAAAUGGACAGUUACAAUAAUCCAUUACCAUUUAUUUUCAGAAA